rnacentral:rRNA from 1 species
UGGGGAAUUUUGGACAAUGGGGGCAACCCUGAUCCAGCAAUGCCGCGUGAGUGAAGAAGGCCUUCGGGUUGUAAAGCUCUUUUGUCAGGGAAGAAACGGUAGUAGCGAAUAACUAUUACUAAUGACGGUACCUGAAGAAUAAGCACCGGCUAACUACGUGCCAGCAGCCGCGGUAAUACGUAGGGUGCAAGCGUUAAUCGGAAUUACUGGGCGUAAAGCGUGCGCAGGCGGUUGUGUAAGUCAGAUGUGAAAUCCCCGGGCUCAACCUGGGAAUUGCAUUUGAGACUGCACGGCUAGAGUGUGUCAGAGGGGGGUAGAAUUCCACGUGUAGCAGUGAAAUGCGUAGAUAUGUGGAGGAACACCGAUGGCGAAGGCAGCCCCCUGGGUUAACACUGACGCUCAUGCACGAAAGCGUGGGGAGCAAACAGGAUUAGAUACCCGUGUAGUCCCUGAGCGGGCUGGCAAGGCGCAU